rnacentral:lncRNA from 10 species
UUUUAACAGUUGCUUAUAAGGGAACACACAUCAGACCACACGGCACUAAUGUCCAUGUAGUAAUAUGUAUUUUCUUGUGUCUCAAAGAUAAUACCUAAAAUCUAAAAAUGUGUGCUUUCCCUUCCAGAAGGUGGAGGCCUUGGCCCAGCCCAUGUUGAAUCCAGGCAGAAAAGUGAAGAUGGAAGUAUCCAGAUUCAUCUGAUGAUCCUCACUCAAAGACUUGUCUUCCUGCACCAUCCUCCUCCGUUUAAGAGUGAUUAUUUGAGGAGCACCUUGUGAUGUUGAAAAAUAAGAGUUGAACACUGACAAGCUAAAGAUUACUGGAGAUUAAGGAAAGUGCGUGGAGUAAGAUUUCAAGUCACCUGGAGCCAAGGAUAUAGUGAACCAAUUGAGUACUAAGACAUACAGCAAGAAAAAAAAAUCUAAUUUUAUCUUCAAGGAGAUGAAAGAAAGAAGAAGGAAGUUUUGGGACAAAAACAAUCAAAUACUAGAUUUGAUGUUAAAUAAAAAUCUCUUUGUAAUUCAAUGCCUACCCCACACUCACAUUCUCAACCCUACUUUUUUCGUUACCAUCAAUGCAUCAUUACUGUAUUCCUUUUUCUCCACGAGAAAUACUCAAUAUUUCAACACAAUUGUGUGAUAAAUAAAUUGGCCUAUGACUUCUUAUUAAGAAGAGCUGUGUUUCAAAGAGAACUAUGUUCCCACAAUCACUUAAUCUCUUGGAGCAUAGCAAAUCACCACAUAAUUGAAAUAUGGCUGUAAAGACUUGUGUUUGCUUAAUAAACACAAAAUUGAUUGGCCUAAAUGGAUUUUCUACUUAUUUUAGGGAAAAACAAC